CUGGAAUGCACUGAAAGGUGACGCAAACUCAAUUGUAACUUUCAAAAGAUUUCCAGCAUCUGCAUUUUUUCUUGUUUUUGAUGAUGAAUUAUGAGUUGGCUGUGAUUUAUAAUGGCGUGCUUAUAAUGAUCUGGAUCAAUGACUGUAAUGACUUGUUCCGGGGAUUCAACAUUGGUAACCAGAAGAGCAGAGAUUCGAGAGAAUUGCA